rnacentral:rRNA from 1 species
AGUUUUUUGUUUAUUGUAAUAAAAAAUGUUUUCUGCUCGGUGAUUUUUAACAGCCGCGGUAAUUUGACCGUGCAAAGGUAGCAUAAUCAUUUGCUUCAUAAUUGGAGGCUGGAAUGAAUGGGAUAACAAGGCUUUUGCUUUAUUUUGGAGAUGAUAAGAAUUUGCUUUUUUAGUGAAGAAGCUAAAAUUUUUUUAUGGGACAAGAAGACCCUUUUGAGCUUUAUUAAAUAAUUCUUUUUUUAAGUGUUUUUAAUUUGGUUGGGGCGACCAAGGAAGAGUGAUCUUCCUUUUUAACUUUGAUCCAAUGGUUUUGAUCGAUGGAAUAAGUUACCGAAGGGAUAACAGCGUAAUUUUUUUUGUGAGUUCUUAUUAAAAAAAAAGAUUGCGACCUCGAUGUUGACUUAUAAUUAUCCUUUUGGUGCAGCAGCUGAAAUGGUGGGUCUGUUCGACCUUUAAAAUUUU